ensembl:lncRNA
AUGUGCCUAUUUUUAUUGUGCUUCUUUUCUAUUCUGCUUAAAAAAUUCUGGCAGAGGGGCCUGGUGAUGCUCGGCAGUCCCCUACAUGCAGUCUCCAAUGGGUGUCUCCCCACCCCGCAAGUCCUACCCAUCCACCCCGGCCUCCACUGGACAUCGGGAUCCCCAGAAGGAAAGCUGUUAAUUGUCCUCCUUGGAGACAGGCCAGUUUGGACCAGCUCUCAGGGUCUCGGCUGCCAGAACCACCCAAGGUGCCUGCUCCUCACCCGAGGAGAGCCAGACAAGGGCGAGGGACACCUUCCCUUCCCUUCCCUUCCUUCUCUUCUUCGUCUUCCCUUACAAAACUCAGACUGAUGUUGUGAUUAACUUGCGUUUUGCAGCAUAGUGGAUAUGACAGUCAACCAAAUUAAUCCCAUUAUGCAAAACCCAGUUCACAAAUGGGUUUGCAUUUUUGCAAAAUUAUGUCAAUUUCCCCAUAAAUUGGAGAGACUGUGUCAGUUGUCUGAACUGCAUAGAGAUGGUACCCAGUGCUGCGUGUCUUCAUUCCCCUGAUCCAGGGAGAUAUGGAUUCUGGCUCUGUGGCACAGAUUAGGAUUCUGAACAUUAAUGCCGAUGCUGGUGUUUACACGAGGCUUGCAUGGGAACCACCAACCAUUCCCACACUCAGCUUCAUCCUCGCCUUGCGGGAAGGAACGGGAUUAGGAGCUUGGGGGGAAAAUGGUUAAAAGAAAAUUCGUAAUUGUGUUGAUAUUAGGAACAUGAUUCAUCCUUUUUUCCCACUCCUUAAGCGCUGAGGCACCUCCCGCCCUCGCCCCGAGUCUCUGCCUCCUCUUUCCCUGUCUGCAUCCGAGCGCUGAGACAGGGAGACGGGCUCCCAACUGCCGCCCUCUUGGCCAGCAGCAGACGUGGUGCUGGUGGCCAAAUCACUUGGCAUCGGCUCUGCUCCGUGAAUUCCCUGUAACUGGACCAACUUGUCAAAUUAAACCAGCUCCUGCUUGGAGCCACAGAGCAGCCGGGAUUGGAAGGCUCCGCACUCUGACCCUGUCACCAGCCCUCGGAGCUGCUCACAUCUGCCUGCUGGACGCGGCAUCCUCGCUGGUUCAUUUCCAAUGCAGAGGCUCCUCUCCAUCUCUCUCUCUCUCUCUCUCCUCUCUCUCUUUCCUCUCUCUCUCUCUAAGGGAGAAAGAAAACGCUUCCUUGUUUUGAAGACUUGCGCUCCGAGUGCUAAAUGACUUACUGAAUUCAGAAAAUCUAUUUUUUAAUGGUUAUUCUUUCUUGGCGAAGCACUUUUGAUUCUGGUGGUGCUUUCUCCAACAGUGGAUUGUUGACUCCUUAUGCUUUAGAUUUAUUAGACAUGUGUCAAGUUGUCAACCUCCUACUGUUUGCAUUUGUGUCCACCUUGCAAACAGCAGGGAAAAAUACUUUUUUUUUCCCAUGAACGUUCACUUCUUGGCAGUUCUGAAACAAAUUUUUGAACAGUUGCUGUUCCUAUUGAUAGCAAUAGUUUGAUGUUUCAAAAAAAAUAAAAAAAAAACCCAGGGUUUUAUUUUCCCUUAA